CCGCUGGUCUAAAUGACAAAGGUUGAGCGUAAACAAAAGAAGCGAAGAUGAAGAAAAGUGAAGGAAUCAAGUUUAUUGAAUUUUUUUAGCAAAAUUGAUAAACAAAUAGCAAAGGCCGAAGGAGUUCAAGCAAAGCAAAAAACAACAAGGAAAACCAAGAAAACCCUAAAGGCUACCUAGAAGGCUACUCUUCAGCAGCUUGGACAUCCCACGAC
rnacentral:lncRNA from 1 species